rnacentral:tRNA from 1 species
UCCCAGGUGGCUCAAUAGGUAAAGAAUCUGCCUGCAAUUCAGGAGAUGCAGGAAAUGUGGGUUCAACCCCUGCAUUGGGAA